GGGGCUGGGGUUCUGUGAUAGAGCACUUGUCUAUCAAUCAUGAAGUCCUGGGUUUAACUCCCAGCACUGCUA
rnacentral:tRNA from 1 species